GUGACGAACCACGAAAGGCUACGGAGAGCUGUAAGUAAGCUAAGACCCGUAGAUAUCCGAAUGGGGGAACCCGGUGCAGCGAUGCAUCAUUAAAUACUGUUAAGGUAUUUAAAGGAAGACGCAGUGAACUGAAACAUCUAAGUAGCUGCAGGAAGAGAAAGAAAAAUCGAUUUCCUAAGUAGCGGCGAGCGAAAGGGAAAGAGCCCAAACCAUUGAAUUUAUUCAGUGGGGUUGUAGGACUACGAUGUGAGACAGAGA
rnacentral:rRNA from 1 species